GAUGAACGCUAGCGACAGGCUUAACACAUGCAAGUCGAGGGGCAGCACAGGUAGCAAUACCGGGUGGCGACCGGCGCACGGGUGAGUAACGCGUAUGCAACUUACCUAUCAGAGGGGGAUAACCCGGCGAAAGUCGGACUAAUACCGCAUGAAGCAGGGGCCCCGCAUGGGGAUAUUUGCUAAAGAUUCAUUGCUGAUAGAUAGGCAUGCGUUCCAUUAGGCAGUUGGCGGGGUAACGGCCCACCAAACCGACGAUGGAUAGGGGUUCUGAGAGGAAGGUCCCCCACAUUGGUACUGAGACACGGACCAAACUCCUACGGGAGGCAGCAGUGAGGAAUAUUGGUCAAUGGCCGAGAGGCUGAACCAGCCAAGUCGCGUGAGGGAUGAAGGUUCUAUGGAUCGUAAACCUCUUUUAUAAGGGAAUAAAGUGCGGGACGUGUCCCGUUUUGUAUGUACCUUAUGAAUAAGGAUCGGCUAACUCCGUGCCAGCAGCCGCGGUAAUACGGAGGAUCCGAGCGUUAUCCGGAUUUAUUGGGUUUAAAGGGUGCGUAGGCGGCCUUUUAAGUCAGCGGUGAAAGUCUGUGGCUCAACCAUAGAAUUGCCGUUGAAACUGGGGGGCUUGAGUAUGUUUGAGGCAGGCGGAAUGCGUGGUGUAGCGGUGAAAUGCAUAGAUAUCACGCAGAACCCCGAUUGCGAAGGCAGCCUGCCAAGCCAUGACUGACGCUGAUGCACGAAAGCGUGGGGAUCAAACAGGAUUAGAUACCCUGGUAGUCCACGCAGUAAACGAUGAUCACUAGCUGUUUGCGAUACACAGUAAGCGGCACAGCGAAAGCGUUAAGUGAUCCACCUGGGGAGUACGCCGGCAACGGUGAAACUCAAAGGAAUUGACGGGGGCCCGCACAAGCGGAGGAACAUGUGGUUUAAUUCGAUGAUACGCGAGGAACCUUACCCGGGUUUGAACGCAUUCGGACCGAGGUGGAAACACCUUUUCUAGCAAUAGCCGUUUGCGAGGUGCUGCAUGGUUGUCGUCAGCUCGUGCCGUGAGGUGUCGGCUUAAGUGCCAUAACGAGCGCAACCCUUGCCACUAGUUACUAACAGGUGAUGCUGAGGACUCUGGUGGGACUGCCAGCGUAAGCUGCGAGGAAGGCGGGGAUGACGUCAAAUCAGCACGGCCCUUACAUCCGGGGCGACACACGUGUUACAAUGGCGUGGACAAAGGGAGGCCACCUGGCGACAGGGAGCGAAUCCCCAAACCACGUCUCAGUUCGGAUCGGAGUCUGCAACCCGACUCCGUGAAGCUGGAUUCGCUAGUAAUCGCGCAUCAGCCAUGGCGCGGUGAAUACGUUCCCGGGCCUUGUACACACCGCCCGUCAAGCCAUGGGAGCCGGGGGUACCUGAAGUCCGUAACCGCGAGGAUCGGCCUAGGGUAAAACUGGUGACUGGGGCUAAGUCAU
rnacentral:rRNA from 1 species